rnacentral:pre_miRNA from 14 species
GUCUCACUUGGGAGGGAGAAGAAAGCAACUGAAAGACCCCCGGAGCAGGGAGACCCUCACUCAAGACUCAGGAUGAUGCGAACCCCCAAGAACUAACGUGAGACCA